UAUAACAACUACAACCAGGGGAGAACCAAAUAUGUGGGAAAAUUAGAUUUUAAAGGGAGAUAAAUUGACCGAUGACUGAAUGUUUGGGAAAGUUCUGAGUGGAUAAGAUGCUUUGGAAGUAAUGACAAUGGAAGCAGCAAAGCAGUUGCCCCCAGAGCAUUGACAAAACCUCCAGCAUUUGAACUAACGUUAGCAGCUGGUGAGCAUUUAUGCUGUUUUCUGAAGGGCUGUACAACUCUGUCCAGAUCUCUGUGACUGCUCUCUACACAGAACAUGAAUAUGUUCUUCAAUAUAAGGGGAAUAUAUAAACAACCAGUUGCUGAAGACAGGAAGAUUGAAGGAGAAGGAAGAGCUGCAAUCCCAUCAAACGCCACCAGAGGACUCUUGAGUGAUGAAGUGCACUUCGCUACAAUAACCCCCGAAAGCCAACUAUAUACAGAAGCCUGCAACCUUCCCUUGCAAGUGAGUCAUAUAAUUCCCUACAGGCAAGCUUUCUGUAGAAAUUAUGAUGAGUUCAAAUUAAAACCCACAUCUACAGAUAUUGCCAAUUAGGGAGUAAGGCACGUGCGUCUGCAUCACUUGUAAACGCCGUAUUCUUUUAAAACCUUGUAAUAAUAGGGCGCGGAGUCUACUCAUUGCUGUUUAUUACACGUCUAUUUUGAAGAAGAUGCAAAAACAUAAUUGCAAGGUUGUCCAGUAGAUGGCGAGGUGUGUAUGGUUGGGUUGUAUGGGUGGACAGGGAGAUUUGGUCGGAUUCUGAGAACGUGUGUUAUCCCAUCCAUUCCAUCAACACAGCCCUUACACAGGGACGGAGGAGGAGGACAGUUGCUGUGUGACAGUAGAAAAAGCAUGGAUGAUGUUAUCCUGAAGGGAUCACAUAGAUGCUGUCACUUGACUGGUUUGAAAUGGGUUUGAUCUUUUUUACAAAGAAAACAGUAUAUUUUUUAACCAAUCCAUUCACGUAACUAGAGACAGUUGAUGUUACUGUUUUGCAAAAAAAAAUGUCAACUUCAAGUAGUCUUUCAAAAAGAACAGCAGCCUGGUAAAAUCGAAAGAUAAAAGGAAAAUAAUUUCGGAGAUCGCCUAGUGUAAACUAAUCAUAAUGUAUCCAUGAGGACCAGAAGAUGCUCGAAUUUCUCUACCUCCCCGGUGCAUUUUCCGUGGUCGUGGACCCUCUUCAAGUGCCAUCCGCGGGGGUCGCUUCCCUUUUCGCCCCUCUUAUAUAAUCAAUGAAUAAGACGAAUGUUUCAAGCCAGGGUUAAUUUUUUUAUCGGAAGACAUCCACCACCAGCGUGAUACACUCGGGUCUGCACGGACAAUGUGCAGCAGAUAUUCUAUCAUAAACAAGACGUGUGUUUACGAUGAUGGGACCGCGGACACCGACAGAGCCAGGUAAGGACUGAACUGAAAACAGCCUUGGCUUCUUGGCUAACGCCGAGUGCAGUGAAAUUCACCGAGAGCCAAACAUCUGUAGCCUAUUUGGGAGAAAUUUGGACUCGAGUCACGUGACUUGGACUCGAGUACGAGUCACAUUUUGCGACUUCAGACUUGACUUGGCAAAAAUAAAAAACACUUGUCACUCGACUUCGACCUGACCAUCUAUGACUCGUGACCUAACUUGGACUUGAGCUGUACGACCCUAGAGACCCGAUUUGUGACCUCGCGCACAAUGUAAGCCUAUCUGUCCUUUAUAUUGGAGUACUGGAGGUUCUGUGCGUUCUGUUCUGUGUCUCGACCAAACAGAUUCACAGAAAUCAGAGGUUGCGCAGGCCGGGCACAAAGCACGUAUUCCAGCAAAGCGCGCGCCGAUCCACUGUCCUCCAGUAUUUAUUUAGCAAACGUAAUUACACAUCGCUCCCGACAUACUACAUUUUACUUUAUUGGUUGGUUAUGUAGACUUCUUUUUUUUAAAUGUUUUAUUUAUUUAACCUUUAUUUAGGUGUACAACGACGGCCUAGGUGUACAACGACGGCCUAGGAACAGAGGGUUAAUUGAACUGCCUUGUUCAGGGACAGAACGACAUCUAUGGGAUUCGAUGUAGCAACCUUUCGGUUACUGUCCCAACGCUCUAACCAAUAGGCUACUUGCCGCCCCAAACCCAUCGCUUUCUAUUACAUGGAUUAGAAGGCUACCAGCCGCUUUCUAACCCAUCGCUUUCUACUACAUAUAAUAAUAUAAUAUUUUUUCCCCCAAACAUCCUUUCUGAAUUUUAAAGUUGUCCUCAAAGUAAUCAUCUAGUUUUUCAAAAUUAUCUGUAAUCUGAUUACAAUAUUUGAUCUGAAAAACGUAACAAAUUGUCCAAUUGCAGUGGUUGUGUCUGUGUAAAGGUUUGGGCUCCUGAAUUUUUCCAGAGUUUCUUUAAAUC
rnacentral:lncRNA from 13 species